CUGACUUAGACUCUAAGGCAGACUCAGAAAUACAAUGUCCCUGCCCUGGACUCAGCGGUCUAGAAGACUAUUCUCCUUUUUACGUUUCCAUUCUUUAUUAGAAGUCCACAGUCAUCUUUUGGGGCAUAACACUCAGGCCCAAAAAGGAAAGUUAAAAAAGCAAAAAGCCACAAGGUCACAUGGGCGACUAUUCUUUCUGGAAAGGCUUUUACAGAUACCUGAUCAAGGGGAAAAAAAACCACGCAGCUUAUCAAGCCAUAAGUUAUAAGGACAUCUAGCCAGAAGAGGACAAUCUCUGAAUGGGCUUUUGGAAGAUAGCUUGGCUGGCAGAAAGGAAGUGACAGCAGCGUUCCAGAGUCUGCGCACGUUGUGUUUGCUGCUUGUAUCAGGAGUAGCCCUGAGCCCCGAAAUUUCUGGGAGGAUUUACUGUUCUCAGGGAGUGCCAGUGAGAGUGGACUCCAAGCGGGAGACCCGAAGGCUCUUUCCAGAAGGCAAAGAUUCAAAUGUGGAUGUUCUCAUUUAUAGGCUGACUUUUUUAUUAAGCCUUUGCUAAAAGGUAUAGUUUUAGUACUUCUAACAGUAGCAGAAGUAGUAG
rnacentral:lncRNA from 1 species